rnacentral:lncRNA from 1 species
CUGCCGUGUACUGUCAGCGUGAAACACGGGCUCUGGCACCGGACAGUCUGGGUUCAAAUCCUGCCCCUCCGUGUGUGAGCCUUGCGACGUUGGGUAACUUACUCAAACGACCCUGUGCUUCGUCUCCCGGUCUGCAAUCGGGGAUGCUUAACUGUGCCCUUCUCACAGGGCGCUUGAGAUUAAAUUUAUGCAAACUUCGAAACACAACAGCUUUCAGUAAACGUGCACUGCGAUUUAUGAAAGAAAUAAUACCAUCUGUGUAGGCGGGGUUGUUGGAAUUAAAUAGGGUAUGAAAUGCUUCUACUGAUAUUCUCAUUAUACUUUUACUCCAGGUCAAAAUCCAAAGUUGAACUUCCCAAGAGAGGAAAUAAAAGUUCAGCUUAGAAGCAUACUGUGCUAGACCUUUAUCUUUGAAGUUUAUAAAAAGUUAGAAGUGUGUGAGCACGUGUGUAUAUUUGGUUUUCCUUAGACUUUAGGGACCAUAGCAAAAAGGACUCUUUAAAAUUCCUUGACUGUUUUAUUUGUGAAUAGAACAAUUAGCUAAAUUCAGAUUAUCUGGAAUAAUGCUUAUCAAAUUUUAGAGUAUCUACAAAUCACUUGGGAUCUUCGUAAAAUACAGAGUCUAAUUCAAAAGGUCAGAAUGGAGGCCGGGAAUCUGCAUUUUCCGCGAGCUCCCAGCGCUGCUGUCGCUGGUUCCAGAGUGCGCUCAGCAUCAGCGCCCCCUGCAGCCCUGAAUACAGAUGUGGUCCUUCAGCUGUGCGUGUGGUGCCAAACAGGUCGUGCUCCCCGCCCCCCCAGCCUCCACGGACAGCAGCAUGGAACCCCUGAUGCUGUGCUCCCUGCGGGAAGACGAUGCCAGCACGAACCACACGGAACUUCAGCCCGGUCCCUCCGGGGCUCUGACCCCAAUGACCACACAGCCCCUUCCCUUCUCAGCUCCUCACAGCAGCAAAGGAACGCUCAGAGAGAACAACCACGAGAGGCCAGAGGGGUAAAGGAGAGCAAAGGGAGGAGAGGCCUCCCAGUGGGGGUGGGGAU